UACGGAGGGAGCUAGCGUUGUUCGGAAUUACUGGGCGUAAAGCGCACGUAGGCGGCUUUGUAAGUUAGGGGUGAAAGCCCGGAGCUCAACUCCGGAAUUGCCUUUAAGACUGCAUCGCUUGAAUCCGGGAGAGGUGAGUGGAAUUCCGAGUGUAGAGGUGAAAUUCGUAGAUAUUCGGAAGAACACCAGUGGCGAAGGCGGCUCACUGGCCCGAUACUGACGCUGAGGCACGAAAGCGUGGGGAGCAAACAGG
rnacentral:rRNA from 1 species